rnacentral:rRNA from 1 species
GAUGAACGCUGGCGGCGUGCCUAGUACAUGCAAGUCGAGCGAACAGACGAGGAGCUUGCUCCUCUGACGUUAGCGGCGGACGGGUGAGUAACACGUGGAUAACCUACCUAUAAGACUGGGAUAACUUCGGGAAACCGGAGCUAAUACCGGAUAAUAUAUUGAACCGCAUGGUUCAAUAGUGAAAGACGGUUUUGCUGUCACUUAUAGAUGGAUCCGCGCCGCAUUAGCUAGUUGGUAAGGUAACGGCUUACCAAGGCAACGAUGCGUAGCCGACCUGAGAGGGUGAUCGGCCACACUGGAACUGAGACACGGUCCAGACUCCUACGGGAGGCAGCAGUAGGGAAUCUUCCGCAAUGGGCGAAAGCCUGACGGAGCAACGCCGCGUGAGUGAUGAAGGUCUUCGGAUCGUAAAACUCUGUUAUUAGGGAAGAACAAAUGUGUAAGUAACUAUGCACGUCUUGACGGUACCUAAUCAGAAAGCCACGGCUAACUACUUG